GACGAACGCUGGCGGCGUGCUUAACACAUGCAAGUCGAACGGAAAGGCCCUGCUUGCAGGGUGCUCGAGUGGCGAACGGGUGAGUAACACGUGGGUGAUCUGCCCCUUACUUUGGGAUAAGCCUGGGAAACUGGGUCUAAUACUGGAUAGGACCAUGCUGUAGGUGGUGUGGUGGAAAGAUUAGUUUCGGUAAGGGAUGAGCUCGCGGCCUAUCAGCUUGUUGGUGUGGUAAUGGCCUACCAAGGCGUCGACGGGUAGCCGGCCUGAGAGGGUGGACGGCCACAUUGGGACUGAGAUACGGCCCAGACUCCUACGGGAGGCAGCAGUGGGGAAUAUUGCACAAUGGGCGCACGCCUGAUGCCGCGACGCCGCGUGGGGGAUGACGGCCUUCGGGUUGUAAACUCCUUUCAGCCAUGACGAAGCCCUUGUGGUGACGGUAGUGGUAGAAGAAGCACCGGCUAACUACGUG
rnacentral:rRNA from 1 species